CCACAAUCACCUUCCGGGUCCACGUGCGCGUUCGCGUCUCCACGCUCUGCACGUGCCUGCGUGGGGGGCUUAGGCGGCCACAGAGAGCCCUCAGGUGAGGGAAUGCAGUUCCAGGUGGAGUGGAAGUAAGACCUGGUAAGAGAUAAACUGACACAUGGUAGACAGUUUAAGACUGAGCAGAAAUCAACAGGAAACCGGCAGUGCCGAAUGAAAAGUAGUCAAGGGCACUUUGCCACAGACAAAAGCUGAGGAGAGACUUUCAUAGAGAAAAGGCGAAGCAAGAAAAUUACUCCUGAAUAUUUUUAUCUCCUGGCAUCCUGUUCCAAUGAGUUUGUGAUAGCUGAUGUCUGCUUACAACGAGGAGACUGGAAGCAUUUCCUUCUCAUCUUGCUCAGUGUAAUAUCAGUGUACAUUCGCAAUCUUCAAUUCACAUCACCAUCCAUUUUGGUUGAGCCAUCAAUUCUGGGACUUGGAUCCUGGAAGAACAUGUUUUCCAUCUAUCAUCCUCCCCUUAGGCAGACAUAGUUACAGAUAGGGCUAAUGUCUAUGAUGUAAGAACCAAUUUUAAUAAAUCUGU